rnacentral:rRNA from 1 species
GACGAACGCUGGCGGCGUGCUUAACACAUGCCAGUCGAACGGAAAGGCCCUGCUUUUGUGGGGUGCUCGAGUGGCGAACGGGUGAGUAACACGUGAGUAACCUGCCCUUGACUUUGGGAUAACUUCAGGAAACUGGGGCUAAUACCGGAUAGGAGCUCCUGCUGCAUGGUGGGGGUUGGAAAGUUUCGGCGGUUGGGGAUGGACUCGCGGCUUAUCAGCUUGUUGGUGGGGUAGUGGCUUACCAAGGCUUUGACGGGUAGCCGGCCUGAGAGGGUGACCGGCCACAUUGGGACUGAGAUACGGCCCAGACUCCUACGGGAGGCAGCAGUGGGGAAUAUUGCACAAUGGGCGGAAGCCUGAUGCAGCAACGCCGCGGGCGGGAUGACGGCCUUCGGGUUGUAAACCGCUUUCGCCUGUGACGAAGCGUUAGUGACGGUAAUGGGUAAAGAAGCACCGGCUAACUACGUG